rnacentral:rRNA from 1 species
CCUACGGGAGGCAGCAGUGAGGAAUAUUGGUCAAUGGGCGGGAGCCCGAACCAGCCAAGUCGCGUGAGGGAAGACGGUCCUAUGGAUUGUAAACCUCUUUAGGCGGGGAGCAAUGCCGGGCACGCGUGCCCGGAGGGAGAGUACCCGCAGAAUAAGCCUCGGCUAACUCCGUGCCAGCAGCCGCGGUAAUACGGAGGAUGCGAGCGUUAUCCGGAUUUAUUGGGUUUAAAGGGUGCGUAGGCGGAUUUUUAAGUCAGCGGUAAAAUGUCCGGGCUCAACCCGGGCCGGCCGUUGAAACUGGGGAGCUUGAGUGGGCGAGAAGUAGGCGGAAUGCGUGGUGUAGCGGUGAAAUGCAUAGAUAUCACGCAGAACUCCGAUUGCGAAGGCAGCAUACCGGCGCCCGACUGACGCUGAGGCACGAAAGCGUGGGGAUCGAACAGGAUUAGAUACCCUUGUAGUC